GUAGGGAAUAUUGGGCAAUGGUCGGAAGACUGACCCAGCCAUGCCGCGUGCAGGAAGAUGGCCCUCUGGGUUGUAAACUGCUUUUAUCUGGGAAGAAAAAGGCCAUGCGUGGCAAAUUGCCGGUACCAGAUGAAUAAGCACCGGCUAACUCCGUGCCAGCAGCCGCGGUAAUACGGAGGGUGCGAGCGUUGUCCGGAUUUAUUGGGUUUAAAGGGUGCGUAGGCGGCUGAUUAAGUCAGCGGUGAAAGACUUCGGCUUAACCGGAGCAGUGCCGUUGAUACUGGUUGGCUUGAGUGUCGGAGGGGUACAUGGAAUUGAUGGUGUAGCGGUGAAAUGCAUAGAUACCAUCAGGAACACCGAUAGCGAAGGCAUUGUACUGGCCGACAACUGACGCUGAUGCACGAAAGUGUGGGGAUCGAACAGGAUUAGAAACCCCUGUAGUCC
rnacentral:rRNA from 1 species